rnacentral:rRNA from 1 species
GUGCAGCAGGCGAGAAUUUUUCUCAAUGGGGGAAACCCUGAAGGAGCGACGCCGCGUGGAGGAUGAAGGCUUUCGGGUUGUAAACUCCUGUCAUUUGAGAACAAGUGGCCGAACGUAACUGCUUCGGCCUUGAUAGCAUCAGAAGAGGAAGGGACGGCUAACUCUGUGCCAGCAGCCGCGGUAAUACAGAGGUCUCAAGCGUUGUUCGGAUUCAUUGGGCGUAAAGGGUGCGUAGGUGGCGCCGUAAGUCGGGUGUGAAAUUUCGGAGCUUAACUCCGAAACUGCAUUCGAUACUGCGGUGCUUGAGGACUGGAGAGGAGACUGGAAUUUACGGUGUAGCAGUGAAAUGCGUAGAGAUCGUAAGGAAGACCAGUGGCGAAGGCGGGUCUCUGGACAGUUCCUGACACUGAGGCACGAAGGCCAGGGGAGCAAACGGGAUUAGAUACCCGUGUAGU